GAUGAACGCUUGCUGCAUGCCUAACACAUGCAAGUCGCGGGGCCGGACGGGGGGUGCUUUUUACCCCUGAUGGCGACCGGCGGGUGGGUGAGUCACGCAUAUCCAAACUUCCCUUCUCCCAUGGCUAAACCGGGCCAAGUCGGACACAUAACGUUUGUGUUCAAUUGACGGGUCCCAAGUUGGACGCAGGGGUUCGGGGGCUAAGGGAGGGGGAUGCGUCCGAUUAGCUUGAGGGCGGGGUAACGGCCCACCGUGGCAACGAUCGGUAGGGGUUCUGAGAGGAAGGUCCCCCACACUGGAACUGAGACACGGUCCAGACUCCUACGGGAGGCAGCAGUGAGGAAUAUUGGGCAAUGGGCGUAAGCCUGAACCAGCCAAGUAGCGUGCAGGAGGACGGCCCUAGGGGUUGUAAACUGCUUUUAUGCGGGGAUAAAGUGGCCCACGGGUGGGCUUUUGCAGGUACCGCAUGAAUAAGGACCGGCUAAUUCCGUG
rnacentral:rRNA from 1 species